GACGUAGGGUGCGAGCGUUAAUCGGAUUUACUGGGCGUAAAGCGUGCGCAGGCGGCCCGUUAAGACAGGUGUGAAAUCCCUGGGCUCAACCUAGGAAUUGCGCUUGUGACUGGCGGGCUCGAGUACGGUAGAGGGGGGUGGAAUUCCUGGUGUAGCAGUGAAAUGCGUAGAGAUCAGGAUGAACACCGAUGGCGAAGGCAGCCCCCUGGGCCUGUACUGACGCUCAUGCACGAAAGCGUGGGGAGCAAACAGG
rnacentral:rRNA from 1 species